GCCAGCAGUGGAUCCGGACUUUCGACGUAACCCUAAUCCGAUGAGAUUAGGUCACCCGAAAAGUCCAAUCAACUUGGACUCUUCUAAAUUGAUUUCAGAAUCAAAUUCUUUCAAUUUUUGUUAAGCCCACAAGUCAAGAUUGAUGUCUAGCAACAUGUCAUGAUUAUCCAAAAGAUUUGAAUUUUUGAUGAAAAAUUAUCAAAAUAUCCUUCAGUGGUAAGUUUUCAUGUAAUUCAAUCCUUCAGUUAAAUAACAUUCCAGAUGAGCUGUGGAUAUGGAAAUAUGUCAAAUUUAAUCACUUAUCUUUAUGUAUCUCGAUCUAAAGGUGAUGAUUCAAUUGAUGAUAUAUUAAAAAUCUUUUUCUAAUUAUCACUCUGCUUUGAUCAAAGACUUCCAGAAUCACUAUCCUAUGAGAUCAUAUAAGAUGUUUGCUCCCCUUAUUAGGAGUGACUGAUCUCUUAUUGAUCACUCACAACCUCCAUGCAUACUUCACCAUAUCCAUAACACCCCACACA
rnacentral:lncRNA from 1 species